AUGGGCGCCGAGGUCGCCCAGAUCAGCGCCUUCGCCGCCUUGGCCGCCCACGCGCUCUGCCUCGCCGGCCUCGCAGCCGCCCACUCCCUCGCCGGCCGCGGCGCGCUCGUCUCCGACCCCGCCCACGCGCUCCGCCUCCUCGUGGUCUGUGAGGCGCCGCUUGUCAUCGUGGUGUUCAGUCUGCUCCGGCGAGAUCCCAAACGCUGCUCGUUCCUUAAGGCUGCUGCACGGGGAUUGCUUGGCUUGCCCAUAGGGGCAUUCGUAAAUGCAUUUGGUGCUAUUGUUCUUGGCGCGCCUGUUGGAAUCAAGUACUGGAUAGCGACAAUCUAUUGGUCAAGUCUUAUGUCGCUGUUCACAUUUGUUCCAGCAGCAUGUGUCUUUGGAGCAUCCAAAGUGGAUUGGCAGAACGCGCUUUCUCAUACUAUUUAUUGCACAUCAUCCAAUGUUGUGGACUACAUGAUCUCUGCGCCUUCUCAUGGAGCUGUAAUAGGAGCGUGGCUUGGUGCUUGGCCUAUGCCCCUUGACUGGGAGAGAUCUUGGCAGGAAUGGCCAAUAUGUGUCACUUAUGGUGCAAUUGCUGGGCAUGUGAUUGGCAUGUUAGUAUCGCUGAUCCUCAUAGUUGCUCACCAGAGAAGAGCUCGUGUCAAAGCUGACUAG
rnacentral:rRNA from 1 species